rnacentral:rRNA from 1 species
GACGAACGCUGGCGGCGUGCUUAACACAUGCAAGUCGAACGGAAAGGCCCUGCUUUUGUGGGGUGCUCGAGUGGCGAACGGGUGAGUAACACGUGAGUAACCUGCCCUUGACUUUGGGAUAACUUCAUGAAACUGGGGCUAAUACCGGAUAGGAUCUCCUGCUGCUUGGUGGGGGUUGGAAAGUUUCGGCGGUUGGGGAUGGACUUGCGGCGUAUCAGCUUGUUGGUGGGGUAGGGGAUUACCAAGGCUUUGACGGGUAGCCGGCCUGAGAGGGGGAGCGGACACAUUGGGACUGAGAUACGACACAGACUCAUACGGGAGGCAGCAGUGGAGAAUAUUGCAAAAUGGGAGGAAGCAUGAUGCAGCAACGCCGCGUGCGGGAUGACGGCCUUCGGGUUGGAAACCGAUUUCGCCUGUGACGAAGCGUGAGUGACGGUAAUGGGUAAAGAAGCACCGGCUAACUACGUG